rnacentral:lncRNA from 1 species
CGCCCCUCCACGCCACCUGCCGGGCCGCACCACCUAGGCCGGCCCGAGGGUCUCCCGCUCCGGGGCCGCCCUCCUGCGCACGACCCCGUACCCAGAGCCGGUGCGGAACCCAGGGCCGGUUGAGCGCGUGGGGAGAUCUGGGUACCCGCGAAGGGGCCCUGGUUUGUGGGGCAGCCGCCGCCCCCUCUUCCAAGGGACGCCCACGCGGAGCUGGGUCCUGGGAGAAAAGCAUCCAAGGCACUCGCUUGGGCCUGGAAAGCAGAGCCCCCCAGGACCCACGGGCCCAACAACAGACUGACGCUGGCCCAGCAAACACUGCUACAGACCCAAGUCCUGCCCCCCCCCCCCCCCCCCCCCCCCCCCCCCCCCCCGCUGCUCACCUGCAUCUACACCUGUCUGAGCCUGGCUCCUCAACUGCUGCGUCGACCAGGUCUCCGACGAGGGCCACGCCCCCACUGAUUGCUCCGGGAGGUGGUGCACUGCGGAGGGGCUCAGCUCUGGACCUGUCACAGCACAGAAAUGUAAGUGUGUUUGCCAGCAGCUGUACUUGAGGAUCCUCAAAGCCUCCAUGACUGGACUCAGGCGACCCAGGUUCUUGACAACUACUACAGAGAAUCAUUUUAGGACCAGAGUGAAAGCAAGAAUCAAGGGCAGCCAUUGGAAAUGUGCCUCAACAGUAGCUACCUAUGUGAUUUGGGGGCUUUGAAGCAGCUUAAUCUACAAUUAAGCUAAAUUCAGACAUUAGCAAGAGGAUUGCAGGUACACUUUUUUUUUGUUUUUUCUAAUCCAUAGAAUUCUGUUUUAAAGGAUUUUUGCUUGCCUCUUGAAAUCCAGGCUGGCCUUGAACUCCCGAAC